CGGGAGUGAUGCGGCUAAAAACCAAGAAAUGUCAAGGAUCCGUGGCCACCCCCAGAAGCUGGGUCGAGGCAAGAAAGGACUCUACCCAGAGUCUUAGACAACAUGACCCCAAUGAGGGCGGUGAAGAGCAGACUGCCUGGAUUUGAAUCCUGGUUCCCCCAUUUCCUAGAGUCUAGCAGUGACACCUUGGCCUCCCAUUGGUAAUGUCAGAGCUUAUCUCCUCCCACAUCUGGGGGUCUGGGGCAGAUGGCUCUUGCAGAAAUGGAUGUCUGACAUGUACCCAGAAGGCAACCUCCCCCUGCUCCUUUCCUGGGUUCCAGAGACAGAAAAUCCAGUUGUCCUUACCUUCUCUCCCUCAAAUUGUUCUACCAUAAGUCCUGCUGUUCUGUUU